UACGUAGGGCGCAAGCGUUAUCCGGAAUUAUUGGGCGUAAAGCGCACGUAGGCGGUUCGUUAAGUCGGAUGUGAAAGCCCUCGGCUCAACUGAGGAAGUGCACCCGAAACUGGCGAGCUUGAGUACGAAAGAGGAUCGCGGAAUUCCCGGUGUAGAGGUGAAAUUCGUAGAUAUCGGGAGGAACACCGGUGGCGAAGGCGGCGAUCUGGGUCGAUACUGACGCUGAGGUGCGAAAGCGUGGGGAGCAAACAGG
rnacentral:rRNA from 1 species